CACUCUAAAGAGACUGCCGGAGUCAAACCGGAGGAAGGUUGGAGUGAAGUCAAGUCGUCAUGGCCUUAAUGACCAGGGCUACACACGUACUACGAGGGCCGGUACAAAGGGCAUGCACUUAGCGAUAAGGAGCCAAACCCGUAAAGCCGGUCUCAGUCCGGAUUGGAGUCUGCAACUCGACUGCAUGAAGUUGGAAUCGUUAGUAAUCGCAGAUCAGCUCGCUGCGGUGAAUACGUUCCCGGGCCCUGUACACACCGCCCGUCACACCACGGGAGUUUAUUGUACCAGAAGUAGUUGAGCUAACCGCAUGGGGGCAGGCUACCAAGGUAUGGUUGGUAACUGGGGUGAAGUCGUAACAAGGUAGCCCUAGGGGAA
rnacentral:rRNA from 1 species